AGAAAAACCAUUGUUGAUAGCCUA
rnacentral:siRNA from 1 species